GGUGUUGAUAGAGCUGAGGGUACACCUGUUCCCAUUCCGAACACAGAAGUUAAGCUCAGAUUCGCCGAAGAUACUUGAGUGGUGACGCUCCGGGAAAAUAGGAAGACGC
rnacentral:rRNA from 1 species